GAUAAACGCUAGCGGCAGGCUUAACACAUGCAAGUCGAGGGGCAGCAUAGAUUGUAGCAAUACAAUUGGUGGCGACCGGCGCACGGGUGCGUAACGCGUAUGCAACCUACCCGUCACAGGGGGAUAAUCCGGAGAAAUCUGGUCUAAUACCCCAUAACAUAUGGAUCGGCAUCGGUUCAUGUUGAAAUUUUCGGAGGUGACGGGUGGGCAUGCGUAGCAUUAGCUUGUUGGGGAGGUAACGGCUCACCAAGGCGACGAUGCUUAGGGGGACUGAGAGGUUUUCCCCCCACACUGGUACUGAGACACGGACCAGACUCCUACGGGAGGCAGCAGUGAGGAAUAUUGGUCAAUGGGCGCAAGCCUGAACCAGCCAUGCCGCGUGCAGGAUGACGGCUCUAUGAGUUGUAAACUGCUUUUGUACGAGGGUAAAGUGGGUUACAUGUAACCUUUUGAAAGUAUCGUACGAAUAAGGAUCGGCUAACUCCGUGCCAGCCGCCGCCGUAA
rnacentral:rRNA from 1 species